UGAUCGACAGCGGACGGGGUGGAGCCGAUAGAGUCUUCAGAUAGCUGCCAUGUCAGCUCUGGUCCUGUUAAUGACAACGAUGAUGGUCAUGAAGAGCAAAGCUGCCUUCACAAAGAUCAUCACAGUAUCUUCACACAGCGAUGGGUCCGUCCUGCUGCCCGCAGAGGGGGGAGGGAGACUAGAGCAUGGGUGGGACGUCAGGUGGACUCAUCCCCACCUGGUCUUAUCUCUGAAGAAUAACAUGACGACGUGUCACCACGGACGCUGUGAGCUGCUGAGUGAUGGCUCACUGAGAUUCAACAGAGUUCAGAUCAAGGACUCAGGAACAUACCGCCUGGAGGUGUUCUAUGAAAAUGGGACGCAGCAGAUGAGGAAAGACUUCCUACUCCAUGUGGAGGCUGCAGGUGACAGCAGCAGCACUGUGGCUGUGUCUAUCUCCUGCCUUCUCCUGUUUCUGCUGCUGCUUUCCUUCAUCAUCUUCAUCCUGAGGAGGAGAGGGAUCAGGCACACAGAUACCUCAGGUCAAACAGAGGAAAAUGUGUAUGUUAAGAUGCUCAGUCAUUGCGGCAAAGAGGGUGAGGAUGACGUUGAGAAGAAGCAAGAGAAAGAGGAGGAUCCUGUUUAUGUUUCCUGUAAUCCUGCUCUCUCAAUGGAAACACCAAUCACACAGCAGACAGUGGAGGAUGACGUCUACGUGUGA
rnacentral:lncRNA from 1 species